GCCGGAAGGCGGGCCUCGCGAGGGUGUGCGGGGCCCUCGCGGGUGGGAGCGCCCCGGAGAGGAAGCUGGGUGCUCGAGGGUGGCCCGGCGGGGCGUGGACCCGCCGCCCCCUGCGCAUCGGGGUUCGAAAGGUCAAGGGAGAGCUGGCGGCUCCGGUGCGCGUCAGCGGGCAUCGGCUCUGCGCCCGACAGCGGCGGGGACGCCGAGUGAGACACAAAAGGACAGGGCCUGGGCCUGGGAACUGGGCCUUCUGCCCCGUGCAGCUCCCUCGGCCUGGAAAACCCACCCGCGUCCUCGCUUGGCCUCCUCGUCUCCAGGCUUUGCCCGCGGGAAACCCACCUGCUCCUCCUCCGCCCUGGGCUGCCCAUCUCCCAGUUCCUGCUUCCCGCUGUCACACAGUAGUUGAGAGUGGUGCUUAAGACUGCAGAGCGCAUAGCCUGGUUAGGUCUCAUUACGGUAUGACCUCCCUGGGCCUUAGCCCCGCACCUGUAAAACGGGUAUAAUAGCAGGACCUACUUCGCCGGGACCUUGUAGGAUUUCAUGAGUUGGUGCAGGUCUCUUGACUGGUUUAGCAUGGACCCUAUUGCCACCCACAGCUGCCAUCUCCUCCAGCAACUGCACGAGCAGCGUAUUCAGGGCCUACUUUGUGACUGUAUGUUGGUGGUGAAAGGAGUCUGCUUCAAAGCACAUAAAAAUGUUCUAGCAGCGUUCAGCCAGUAUUUUAGGAGCCUCUUUCAGAAUUCUUCAAGCCAGAAGAAUGAUGUUUUUCACUUGGAUAUUAAAAAUGUCAGUGGCAUAGGGCAGAUCCUGGACUUCAUGUACACUUCUCAUUUAGAUCUCAACCAGGACAAUAUACAAGUAAUGCUGGACACAGCACAGUGUUUGCAAGUUCAAAAUGUCCUGAAUCUAUGCCACACGUUUAUAAAGUCAGCUACUGUAGAACAGCCUCCUGGCAUGCCUUGUAAUAGUGCAUUCUCCCUGCAAAGCACGGUCACCCCUGAUGCUACCUGUGUUGUGAAUGAAAACUACCCUUCUCAUUUACUGCAAGAGUGUUCUGCAGAUGUACAGCAUAAUAAAGUUUUAGAUGAAUCAAAUUCUCAAGCUCCACCAUUAGUUAAUCUUCAUCAUUCCACAAGUGACAUAGCCAAACAAGCCCCUGACACUUUAGAUGGCAGCUGUGCAGAACUGCCUUUCAAACAGCCAAAUUACUAUCACAAACUCAGAAACUUUUACAGUAAGCAGUACUAUAAAGACGCUGCUUGUCCUAGUCAUGAGCGAGUUGUCGAGCAGCCUUUGACUUUGAGUUCUGCCACAGACCUCAGUACAGUAGAGAGCCGGCCGUGUGCUGCCAGCCAUUCCCAAUGCAUCCUGGAGUCUUCGGAGGACUUGCCUUCCAACUUCCUGGCCCCGCCUUUGAGUGACUCUGCCCCAGACCCGGAAUCAGACACCACCUAUCCACAACCUACCAAACAGAUGAGGCUCAAAAAGGCCAUUCACCUGAAGAAACUAAAUUUCCUAAAGUCACAGAAAUCAGCAGAGCAAACAUCAGAACCCAAGUUGGAUGAUGGCUUAACAAAGAGGAUGGAAUCUGCUGGUGAAAAUACCACAGAGAAAGCUAGCAGCCAAUGUACUGCCGAAAAGGAAAGUGAAGAACUCGUAAGCUGUGGGGAUUUUAAUUGCAUUAGUGAAAUGGAGAGACCUGAGGACCCUGCAGCACUGGAAGACCAGUGCCAGACACUUCAGUCCCAGAGACAAUAUGCAUGUGAAUUGUGUGGGAAACCUUUCAAACACCCAAGCAAUUUGGAGCUUCACAAACGGUCUCAUACAGGUGAGAAACCUUUUGAAUGUAACAUUUGUGGGAAACAUUUCUCUCAGGCAGGUAACUUGCAGACUCACUUACGUCGGCAUUCUGGUGAAAAACCGUACAUCUGCGAAAUCUGUGGAAAGAGGUUUGCAGCCUCUGGCGACGUCCAACGUCACAUUAUUAUUCACUCAGGAGAAAAACCACACUUGUGUGACAUCUGUGGUCGAGGGUUUAGUAACUUCAGUAAUUUGAAGGAGCACAAAAAGACACACACGGCUGAUAAAGUCUUCACCUGUGAUGAAUGUGGAAAGUCUUUUAAUAUGCAAAGGAAGUUAGUAAAACAUAGAGUCCGGCACACGGGUGAGCGGCCUUACAGCUGUUCUGCCUGCGAUUUGACAGCCUCCGUGAGAGAACUGGACAUGCCCAUAGCACUGUCGCUAGAAUGUCAAGCUCCUCCCUCACCUGACCCUGGUAGCUCCUCAGCACCCAGCUCCUGCAGUCCCUUGAGCCUCAGCUGUUGCUAUGGAUACUUAGGCUAUGCCCUGGGCUCCCAAACCUCCUGGGGAACCCAGCUCUGCUGUCCGAGCCUGCACACGGGGAGCGGAGCCAGGCCGGUGGGGAAGCCAUUCUCUGAUUUCUCCAGUGACUCUCCUGAGCCCUCGUCCUGCAUCUAAGCAUUCCCUCCUUGAUGGAGACUACGCUGUCCUGGACAGCUGUGUCACACUGUCACCUGUCUCAAGCCUCCCCAGGGCACCCCACCCUCACACUCACGGUCCUGCUUCCUACUUCUCCCAGGAGGGGGGAGCAAACAGGAAGGAGCCCAUCCCUCACCCCCCUAUGCCCCUACCACCUCCCUGCAUCUGCACCUGUGGACUCUGCACCCCCAUGACACGGCGGCCGCCCACACCCUCAGCUUCCCAGCCGGGCUGGCUCUGUCCCAGCAGCACUUCUUGCCACUGUCUGACCCACUACAUAUUUCACCUAGGGAAUGUUCUGGAUACCUUUUAGUCAAAGUAUCAGGCCUCCUGGAUUGAGCCCUAAUUUUCUUUUCUCUUGAACCCCGGCCAUCUGACUUUUGUCCCAUUACUGCACUGGAAUACUUUCUGCCCAGGUCACCGAUGACCUCUCCACUGCCACAUCCAGCAAUCAGUUCCCAGUCCCCAUCUAAGUCGACUCUUAUGCAGGAUUUAACACUUCAGCAGCAAGGUGAUCCCUCUUUCCUUCUUGAAACAAGAACCAAGAGGAUGGUUCCCUCUAAGUUUCACCUCACUCACCGGCUGCUCAGUCUCAUGCUGUCCCCCACAGCCCACAUUCUAAAGUCGGGGUGCCCUCAGCACAGGCCCUGGGCAUCCUCUCUGGCCUUGCUCACUUGCCGGCCACCUCAUGCCUAACAACCCCAUGACUCCCAAACACGUGUCUGUCCUCCCCGGAACUCCAGAAUCCUGUUUCAGGGGCUACCAGCACCCUGACUGUCCAGCAGACAUCACAGACAAGAGCUCUCGAGACCAAGCUCCUCGUCGCCUCCCAACCCUCUUCCUUCUGCUCUCCGCUGCCUCCGUCACCGGCAAGCCCGGCCUCCCAGUUGCUCCGACCGCAGACCUGAAGAGCUGUCUCACGCCCAUCAGGAAACUCUUGGGAACCUCCCACGCGCCAGGCGUUGGGUUUGCCGAGGUACAAAGAGCACGACUUGAGUUGGCCGAGCCUUACCCUAAAUAAGGAAGAACUCAGAAGGGGUGAAGAGGCUUGGAUGUGCAUCAGUGGUACUUAGACAGCAAAUUCCCCCACGGUGGACCAGGCCUUGCCUUCGUGCCUACAGCUCGACCAUCCGCAGCAAGAAUUAGACUGUGUGUGUGUGUGUGCACGUGUGUGCACUGAUCCCAGACUCAGGACACCAGGAUUGUGUUUGUGGCUCCAUCACUAACUGAUCACGUGGCAAACACCCCUUCUCACUGGUCUUCAAUGACUGUGCAAUGGCUGUGGGAUUUCCAUUCUCUGAGAAAAGCCCAUGACUAGGUUUCUAUGGAACCUUUCAGGGUCAAGAGCUGGCUUCCAUUGCCAAGUCGGAAGGAGAGGCCAAGAGGCUGGCAGGCCAUCAGAAACCCCAGCAUCUUAGAAUGUCGGAGCAGAAAGGGACCUUACAAAUCAUAUCCUGUUUUUGAGGGUUUCACCCUUCUGUGAGCUCAGCUAGCUUGCUAACGACGCAGGUGUUUGGAAGUGCUGAUUCUGAAGGUGGGGGCAAGACCUAGGAAUCUGCAUUUAGCGAGUUUUCUGAUGAUUCUGAGGCAGAGGGUACAAGGACAGAACUUGAAGGAUCUGAUCUAGUCCCAAUCCCUCACUGUACAGAUGGCCUCAGACGAGAGGUGACUUGCCCAGGAAUGACGAGAGCAAAGACUUCGUGUCCGCGGGAUGCCAGCCCCAGUGGCAAGUGCUCAAGUGCCUGCUCACUUAAACUCCUAGGAACCCAGAUCCUGUGAUGGCCUGCCUGGACAGAUGGGGACAGUGACUCCCGAGAGGCCAAGGAACUUACCAAACGCCACCCGGAAGUGGCAGAGUUGGGCCCCAAUAUCCAGGGUGACUCGGCGGCAAAGCCCAAAGCCGGGUUCGGACCCAGCCCGCAUGGAACGCGGGGCUGGCGGGUUUCGCGAGAACAACCCGCUGUUUAACUCGUGGAACCCGUGACGUCCUUCUCCUGGAGUGUCUCACCUACCUUCCCCUUUAACUUCUUUUUUUCUUAUCAAAAGAUACAAAUAAGUAAAAAGGAAAACUGGCUGUACCCCCUGGGGAGGCUGCCGACAGCGGGGGUGUCGGGACAGUGAGGACGCCUCGGUUUAUUUCCCUCCAGGCUUCCCCUACAGCCCGCCCCGAACGCCUGCAGACACCUGAACAUUCUGUUAAGUGGCUCAUGCUGCGCAUACUGUUCUGGAAUCUGUCUUUUCACACAGAGAAUUGUCAUAAUCUUCCCUUGUCAAAAAAUCUUGGACUGAAGGUUUCAGCAAAAAAACAAAAGGAAAAAAAUGUGUG